rnacentral:sRNA from 1 species
GAAGAGGAUGGGGGGAGAGGUUGAGUCCUCUAGGACUAAAUUUGAAAAUGAUGCGAGUGGCUGAAUACCUGGAUUGGGAUGUGUCUGAGCUGAGGCCGAUUCUUCAGGAGAUGAUGAAAGAGAUUGACUAUGAUGGCAGUGGCUCUGUCUCUCAAGCUGAGUGGGUCCGGGCUGGGGCCACCACCGUGCCACUGCUAGUGCUGCUGGGUCUGGAGAUGACUCUGAAGGACGAUGGACAGCACAUGUGGAGGCCCAAGAGGUUCCCCAGACCAGUCUACUGCAAUCUGUGCGAGUCAAGCAUUGGUCUUGGCAAACAGGGACUGAGCUGUAACCGUGAGUAAUGGGAGCUGGGAGGUAGGGGAAGAGGGUCAGCCCAGCUAUCUGUGGGAGCUUGACGCUGUAAACUUAGAAAGACCUAGGUUUGAAUCCUGGGCUCUGCCACUGACUAGUUAUGUGACCUUGGGAAAGCCACAUCACUUCUUUAAGCCUUAGUUUCCUCAACUGAAAAUGAGGUAAUUGUGAGCAUUAAAAAAGCUGGUGCAAGAAAAGUGCUUCAGAUGGUGCAUGCACAUACUAUAAGAUGCAAUAAAAAAUAUCUAUUAUGAUUACUGUUGCUGUUAGACCUGGGCCUCCCAAGCAUUAUCCAGCUCAGUUCCUGCCUGGCACAUGGAUGGUGUGGGGCAGGCAUGCAGUAGCAG